GAGACCUCAGGUCAUGCGGGGCUACCCGCUGAGUUUAAGCAUAUCAAUAAGCGGAGGAAAAG
rnacentral:rRNA from 1 species